UGUAUGUUGGCUUCAGUAGGUUCAGAUUCACUGUUUGGAGUAGGAUGCACCUAGAUGGGAUCUAUCGACCUUAAUAGAAAAAGAAGUCCUAUGCGAUUUGUGAGACUGAGUUCAGAAAGUCUUUGGUCAAAGCAAAUAUGAAUACUGAAAAAGAGUUUUCACAGUAUUCACAAAUAAACUCGAGUCGAGCCAAUCUAGCAUAUAACUGACAAUAAGGUCUGACAAG
rnacentral:lncRNA from 1 species